CGCACAUUGCGCUCUCCGGUAGCCCGGAGAGCAUGCCUGUCCGAGCGUCAUUUCAGUUGAUCAAGCACCGCUUGGUUUUGGGGGUUGGCGCCCUUGAGAGUUAACAUUCGAAAAGGGCGGCCCUUAAAUCGGUGGGCGGUCGCGUCGACCUUGAAGCGUAGUAGAUUUCUUCCCCGCUUUACUUGGUCAGACGAUGACUUGCCGCCAAUGUAACUUUCUCAGGUUGACCUCGGAUCAGACAAGGGUACCCGCUGAACUUAA
rnacentral:misc_RNA from 1 species